rnacentral:rRNA from 1 species
GAUGCUACCUGGUUGAUCCUGCCAGAAUA